rnacentral:rRNA from 1 species
AUUGAACGCUGGCGGCAGGCCUAACACAUGCAAGUCGAACGAGUGGCGGACGGGUGAGUAAUGUCUCGGAAACUGCCUGAUGGGGGGGGAUAACUACUGGAAACGGUAGCUAAUACCGCAUACCAUCAGAUGUGCCCAUAUGGGAUUAUCUGGUUGGUGGGGUAACGGCUCACCAAGGCGACGAUCCAUAGCUGGUCUGAGAGGAUGACCAGCCACACUGGAACGUAGACACGGUCCAGACUCCUACGGGAGGCAGCAGUGGGGAAUAUUGGACAAUGGGCGCAAGCCUGAUGCAGCCAUGCCGCGUGUAUGAAGAAGGCCUUCGGGUUGUAAAGUACUUUCAGCGGGGAGGCGUUACCCGCAGAAGAAGCACCGGCUAACUCCGUGCCAGCCGCCGCGGUAAUUC